CAGGCUGAUUCCUGCUGUACAAGGCAUAUAUCCCAAAAUGCUGUCCUGAGAUACAGAUCCUGUUUGACACAUCAAUGUUCGGCUUGUGCAAUAACUCUGGUGACCUAGGAGGAGUUUCUGCCCUAGGAAGAUGAGAUUGUCAUAUGCCAAGAUACUGACGCUAGCAGCCCUCUUGGCACAGUCUGAAGCCUUGGCUCCGCAUGAAGCCUGGAACAGUGCAAUAAAUCAACGUUUACAGAUGUCUCUGG